GUACCUGUACGGGAGUAUCCUAGUGGCGAAUGGGUGAGUAACGCGUUGGUGACCUGCCCCAAAGUGUGGGAUAACAGUCCGAACGGAUUGCUAAUACCGCAUGUGAUCAUUGGGUUUAGAAACUAAUGACUAAAGCAGCAAUGCGCUUUGGGAGGGACCUGCGUCCCAUCAGCUAGUUGGUGAGGUAACGGCUCACCAAGGCGACGACGGGUAGGGGACCUGAGAGGGUGGCCCCCCACAAUGGAACUGAAACACGGUCCAUACACCUACGGGUGGCAGCAGUAGGGAAUAUUGCUCAAUGGGCGAAAGCCUGAAGCAGCAACGCCGCGUGCGCGAUGAAGGUCUUCGGAUCGUAAAGCGCUUUUCUGCGAGAUGAGAAAGGACAGUAUCGUAGGAAUAAGUCUCGGCUAACUACGUGCCAGCAGCCGCGGUAACACGUAGGAGGCGAGCGUUAUCCGGAUUCACUGGGCGUAAAGCGCGUGCAGGCGGUUUGGUAAGUUGGGCGUGAAAGCUCCCGGCUCAACUGGGAGAGGUCGUUCAAUACUACCGAACUAGAGAGUAGAAGAGGAAGAUGGAAUUCCCGGUGUAGUGGUGAAAUGCGUAGAUAUCGGGAGGAACACCAGUGGCGAAGGCGAUCUUCUGGUCUAUUUCUGACGCUCAGACGCGACAGCUAGGGUAGUAAACGGGAUUAGAGACCCCGGUAAUCCUAGCCGUAAACGAUGUGAACUUGGCGUCGGUGGCUUAAACACCAUCGGUGCCGAAGCAAACGCGAUAAGUUCACCGCCUGGGGACUACGGCCGCAAGG
rnacentral:rRNA from 1 species